rnacentral:rRNA from 1 species
UGGGGAAUAUUGGACAAUGGGCGAAAGCCUGAUCCAGCAAUGCCGCGUGAGUGAUGAAGGCCUUAGGGUUGUAAAGCUCUUUUACCAGGGAUGAUAAUGACAGUACCUGGAGAAUAAGCUCCGGCUAACUCCGUGCCAGCAGCCGCGGUAAUACGGAGGGAGCUAGCGUUGUUCGGAAUUACUGGGCGUAAAGCGUACGUAGGCGGUGACUCAAGUCAGAGGUGAAAGCCUGGAGCUCAACUCCAGAACUGCCUUUGAAACUAGGUCGCUAGAAUCACGGAGAGGUGAGUGGAAUUCCGAGUGUAGAGGUGAAAUUCGUAGAUAUCAAGAGGAACACCUGAGGUGAAGACGGGUUGCUGGGCUGACACUGACACUGAGGUGCGAAAGCGUGGGGAGCAAACAGGAUUAGAUACCCGAGUAGUCCCUGAGCGGGCUGGCAAGGCGCAU